rnacentral:lncRNA from 1 species
AGGCCCCGCACACUCUCAAGUUCAACAAAUGGCCACAGAGGGCGAAAAAUCAAUCGAGGCGCGUUUCAGCGUAAGCGCGCAAGUGGAGCUACUGUAAUUUGGUCGAAUACUUCAAUUUGUGCUUUCUCUGCUAGGGGCGCUGAACAUGCUGAAUUUUUUAAUUUACACAAACCAUUGACAUGAACAAUCGAGGUGUCUAAGGAUGUUUUUUUACCUCAGGCAAAUAGGCAGUUGAUUUUUUUUUUAAUUUUUUUGUUGAAGCUGCUUUUUAGUCAUAGCGUCAAGGUUUUUGUACUUGAUUAACCACCGACAGCCUAUUGGUAUCGAUGUGUUUCCUGGCCGUUGGCGUUCGAAUACUACGGCGGUAAAACAUUUUCGAAAGCAUG